rnacentral:snRNA from 1 species
GAUCAUCAGCUGGAUUUGGCUGUAACACUCGUCACCCCCACUGACUGCCAAGGUUGGUUCAGCUGGCUGGGCAGUGUCCCCUCCCUCCCUCACUGCUCCCUGGGCUUCACGCCCUGCCCUAGGCAGUGGAAAAGGAUGGAGCUGCCCACUUAGUGGUCUUUCUGAAGGGAGGACUGUCCAUUCUUCUGCGGAUGGUAUAGGAGUGACUGGGCUCCCCAAGAACCUCCCAAAGACCUCUCAAAUGCAGUCAUCUAGGACGCAGGAUAAAUGGAGAUAGAACCCAUGACUCAAAUUCGGUGCCCUGUGAUC